CCCGGGUCCCGAGUCACGACUCAGCCCACGUAGACGUCCACGGGGAACGUAGCGUUGCAGCCCUCACUGAGGUUUGACGUCAAGAAAGAAACUGAGAGGCCGCUUCCCCAGCUGACCCUAAGCCAGCCUGAGCAAUUUGUCUGGACCACCACAAGCCUGAGAAUAGACAGAACAUCAGCUCCCUGCCAGCACAGCGCAGCAUGGGGCUUCCCUGCAUCGGAAUAGAUGAGCCAGGGUCCAGAGGACUUACUAACUUUCAAAAAGGAUUUUGGCCUUCUGUUGGAGAGGACCUUGCUGCAGGCACAUCCCAGGGUAGAUUUUAGCAUCCUACUCAAGUUCUUAUUCAGAAUUACCCCUUGGACUCGACCCAGCUGUGUCUGCAUUUACAGAGCCUCCCCUGCUCCUAGCCCAGACCUCGCCGGGAUUGAGGACGACAAUGUCAUCACCAGUUGUCUGCUUUCCGGAGCCAGCAGCUUGCUCCACCGGGAUCCUGCUAUAUUCAACCCUGCCUGGUAAAGUAAUUAUCAUCCAUGAGGUGUUCACCAGAUACCCAGCCAGUGAGUCCCUUUGCGCCUGCUCUGAGCAGCAGACCUAGUGUUGAGGUGUCCUCAUCAACCCCGGAGGGACUGGGUCUACUACAUCCAGGAAAGCUAAGUGGCCCCGGUUUUAUCUUUCCAAUUCUUUUGAGUAGGAGACAUUUGCAUUCUUUUUUUUUUUUUUUUUUUU